CCCUUAGAUGUCCUGGGCCGCACGCGCGCUACACUGAUACGUUCAACGAGCCUUCCUUGGUCGAGAGGCCUAGGUAAUCUUUUGAACGCGUAUCGUGAUAGGGAUAGAUCAUUGCAAUUAUUAAUCUUCAACGAGAAAUGCCUAGUAAACGCAAGUCAUCAGCUUGCAUUGAUUACGUCCCUGCCCUUUGUACACACCGCCCGUCGCACCUACCGAUUGAAUGGUCCGGUGAAUUCUUCGGACUGUGGCUUUGGAUCGGUUUCGGCCGAGACGCUGCCGUGGGAAGUUGUUUAAACCUUACCAUUUAGAGGAAGGUGAANUCGUANCA
rnacentral:rRNA from 1 species